rnacentral:rRNA from 1 species
AACGCUAGCUACAGGCUUAACACAUGCAAGUCGAGGGGCAGCAUGGUCUUAGCUUGCUAAGGCCGAUGGCGACCGGCGCACGGGUGAGUAACACGUAUCCAACCUGCCGUCUACUCUUGGACAGCCUUCUGAAAGGAAGAUUAAUACAAGAUGGCAUCAUGAGUCCGCAUGUUCACAUGAUUAAAGGUAUUCCGGUAGACGAUGGGGAUGCGUUCCAUUAGAUAGUAGGCGGGGUAACGGCCCACCUAGUCUUCGAUGGAUAGGGGUUCUGAGAGGAAGGUCCCCCACAUUGGAACUGAGACACGGUCCAAACUCCUACGGGAGGCAGCAGUGAGGAAUAUUGGUCAAUGGGCGAGAGCCUGAACCAGCCAAGUAGCGUGAAGGAUGACUGCCCUAUGGGUUGUAAACUUCUUUUAUAAAGGAAUAAAGUCGGGUAUGGAUACCCGUUUGCAUGUACUUUAUGAAUAAGGAUCGGCUAACUCCGUGCCAGCAGCCGCGGUAAUACGGAGGAUCCGAGCGUUAUCCGGAUUUAUUGGGUUUAAAGGGAGCGUAGAUGGAUGUUUAAGUCAGUUGUGAAAGUUUGCGGCUCAUCCGUAAAAUUGCAGUUGAUACUGGAUAUCUUGAGUGCAGUUGAGGCAGGCGGAAUUCGUGGUGUAGCGGUGAAAUGCUUAGAUAUCACGAAGAACUCCGAUUGCGAAGGCAGCCUGCUAAGCUGCAACUGACAUUGAGGCUCGAAAGUGUGGGUAUCAAACAGGAUUAGAUACCCUGGUAGUCCACACGGUAAACGAUGAAUACUCGCUGUUUGCGAUAUACUGCAAGCGGCCAAGCGAAAGCGUUAAGUAUUCCACCUGGGGAGUACGCCGGCAACGGUGAAACUCAAAGGAAUUGACGGGGGCCCGCACAAGCGGAGGAACAUGUGGUUUAAUUCGAUGAUACGCGAGGAACCUUACCCGGGCUUAAAUUGCAGAUGAAUUACGGUGAAAGCCGUAAGCCGCAAGGCAUCUGUGAAGGUGCUGCAUGGUUGUCGUCAGCUCGUGCCGUGAGGUGUCGGCUUAAGUGCCAUAACGAGCGCAACCCUUGUUGUCAGUUACUAACAGGUUCCGCUGAGGACUCUGACAAGACUGCCAUCGUAAGAUGUGAGGAAGGUGGGGAUGACGUCAAAUCAGCACGGCCCUUACGUCCGGGGCUACACACGUGUUACAAUGGGGGGUACAGAGGGCCGCUACCACGCGAGUGGAUGCCAAUCCCCAAAACCUCUCUCAGUUCGGACUGGAGUCUGCAACCCGACUCCACGAAGCUGGAUUCGCUAGUAAUCGCGCAUCAGCCACGGCGCGGUGAAUACGUUCCCGGGCCUUGUACACACCGCCCGUCAAGCCAUGGGAGCCGGGGGUACCUGAAGUGCGUAACCGCGAGGAGCGCCCUAGGGUAAAACUGGUGACUGG